UGGCUGCUGGAAGCAGGCACAGGUGUCCUGAUUGGGCAGCUGACACAGGUGCACUGAGUGUGUUUGUUCUUUCGCCGUGUGCACUUCGGUUGAGCUGGUUCCCUCCGUCCUUGUUCUUUGUCCCCGAGUUUGUUGAAGAGGACACCGCUCAGCAACACCUGACUGACUGAAGGAAACAGAAUGGGGUCUUUAAUACAGAGCCUGAGGUUGGCCUCCGCUUCUGUUCUCAUGCUGAUGAGUCAGUUCCAGUGGACUCUCACCGAACAGGGGGGGAAAGUUGUCAGGUGUCCUCCUGUAACCUGGUUAAUUAUUCUUCUCCAUUUAGACACCGACAAACCACAAGAGAUACUUUAAAGAGUCUGGUCUGGAUUAAAUAACCUGCUGACCAGCCCCUCGCAUCCUCUACCUGAAACCAAACUCUGACUGCAACACGCAGUCACACAAAACCUAAAGACACCUGGGACCAGACUCCUUUAAGCAGGUCUCAUCAUCCUCUCAUUAUCACAGGAUCCAGGCAGGACGGAGUUUGAGAAGAAAGGCCCCCGGACUGAAAGAGAUGCAAAAGGAGAACAAACAACACGAGGACUUCACCCUCUGCGGUCCACUAGUUAUUCAAAGAGAGAAGCUGGAGGUUUUCUCUUUCACCUCAAUACAGUUUGAUCACAGCAGCAUCUAGUGGACAUCAGAGGGACUGCAGAUCUGAGGCUGCUGAAUGGACCGGACCAGACCAGUUCAGACCAGUUCCAACCGAUUUGGGUUGGAUCGGUCCAGACCAGGAGUCGGAGUUACUUCUGGGUGAACAGGGCUCCCAGUGUGAUCCCAGCUGCUCCCAGUACAGCCAGCCCAAACACUGUCCUCAGAGACCAGAAACUGACUGGCGGUCUGGAUUCACUGUACAACUCCACAAAGGCAUCCUGGGAAAUCAGAGAGAGAGAGACAGCUCUGACUGUUGCUGCAUUAUCUCGGACUGACGAUCAGUUCCAGUUUCUUUCUGGGAAAUCUGUAUCUGUAAAUAAAAACAGCCGAAGAUG